AAGCCGGCCAGCUUACACAUGCAAGUCGAGCGCCCCGCAAGGGGAGCGGCAGACGGGUGAGUAACGCGUGGGAACGUACCAUUUGCUACGGAAUAACUCAGGGAAACUUGUGCUAAUACCGUAUGUGCCCUUCGGGGGAAAGAUUUAUCGGCAAAUGAUCGGCCCGCGUUGGAUUAGCUAGUUGGUGGGGUAAAGGCUCACCAAGGCGACGAUCCAUAGCUGGUCUGAGAGGAUGAUCAGCCACACUGGGACUGAGACACGGCCCAGACUCCUACGGGAGGCAGCAGUGGGGAAUAUUGGACAAUGGGCGCAAGCCUGAUCCAGCCAUGCCGCGUGAGUGAUGAAGGCCCUAGGGUUGUAAAGCUCUUUCACCGGUGAAGAUAAUGACGGUAACCGGAGAAGAAGCCCCGGCUAACUUCGUGCCAGCAGCCGCGGGGUAAUACA
rnacentral:rRNA from 1 species